CUUACACCUCCAAAAUAACAAAUAACCUAAUCCUCUAAAAAUCCUUUCAGCCCAGCCGCCACACCCAAACCCCUGCCCCCUUCUCGUCUUCUUCGAACACCCCCGCUGUACCCCCACCCUCCUUCUCUUCUUCAGUCGAGCAACCAACCCACGAACCCCAUCGCACUCAUCGCUGACCACCAUCCCCGUUCUUCUUCAACAAGAAACCACCAUAACCAGCAUUAAACCUCCACCAGUCCGUUACCCCCUUCCGCCAUGACCAUCCAGCCCGCCUCCAGCUUCAACCCGUCGACCAGUCGACCACUCCCCUCCAGUAGCCCUUGAACCAGCAUCCAAUCAACCCCGAAACCUCCAGAAGUUACCCUGUCGUGCUUCGUCUUCAUCAGUCCCUUCCGCCGGUGCUCUGUCAUCAACUUCUCAUGUUUUCCUCCGUCAUUUUUCUGCUGGUCAAGUUGAAACUGAUUUCAAGGUAAAGAUCAACUUGAUUCCUCUUCGAGCUUUCAUCGGACGCAGCCGGUCAACGAGCUCCGAGUCCAAUACCAUUUCCUCCGGUUUGGGUAAAGUCAGUUUUGAAUGUUAGAAAGAUAAGGGAGAGGAUACUCCAAACACUAUAAAUUCUAGUUUGGAUCCUUAGCUUCAAAGAGCUAUUCGGUUUUCUGUUCAUUUCUGGAUCAAUCUCUGGACUUCAAAGUAAUUUAACUCUCAAAUGGCUUCCGAGGGCUGUAAUCUGCCGUUCGAACACAGUCCACGUUUAAUUGGUAGGUUUCCAUCUUAUUUUUCUGUUAGUUUUGUUCGAUAAGUUCAUCUUGUUCUCUUUCUCUUGUUCCGUUUAGAAUUGAGUUUUGGUUCUACUCUUGAUUUUUGUUGCUGGUUAUAUCGAUUUUGCCUUGUAUUUUGUGUCAAUGAAUUCUUUUACAUACCUUUGUCGUUUGGGAUUAAUUCAUCGCGUGCGUAGUUAAUCACUGUUUCGUUUAAGUGAAUUAUUCGUCCUUGUUUCAACCUAGUUCAAUUUUGAUUAGUCAUUUGAAUAUUAAUAGCGUAGUUAAUUGUUGUUUUUGAACUAUCACUAAAAUUUGACGAUUUGAAGCAUAAUGAUGUCCUGUUGAGUUUGAUGUUUAGCAUUAAUGUGGUUUUUGGUUCAGAUUCAACUAAAGUGUUUAAUCGGGAAUCAGUAAAGUUGAUUGUUAGGUGAAUUGGUUAUAGCUGUAGUAAUUUUGUGAUUAAUUAGGAAUUAGUUUUGUUACAAGCUGAAGGGAUGGGGUAGAAUUGUAACUUUCAGUUAUUUUUGGGGUAUUUUUGGAAUUGAAAAAAUAAAGAUUUGUUUAAAAAUAUAGCGUGGAACAUAAUUAUGUAAAGUAAAAAGAGGGGACAAGACAUGUGGGGAGCAUAAUGAUUAAAGUAAAGAAUUGUUUAAAAUAUAGUGGGAAACAUAAUUAUAUAAAGUAAAAAGAUGGGACAAGACAUAUGUGGAGCAUAAUGAUUAAAGUAAAAAGAGAGUGGAUGGUGGGGUCCACUUUUGACUGCUUUUGUUAAUUGAAAAUCAGAAAUAGUAGAAAGGGGGCUGGAAAUUAAAGUAAGAGGUAAUAAUAAAAGGGUAGUAACAAUAAUUAUUGGGGGAGGGAAAGAGGGUCUUGUUUCAAAUAUAAUAGAAGUCAUUUGUCACUUAGAAGGGGGAGAAAGUUAAGAGAGAAUUUUUUUUCAGUACUAGAGGAAAGAUAAACAACUGCUAUUGUUUAUUGAAGCUUCAAGCUUCUUUUCUUGAGUGUUAAAAAUUAAAAGGGACUAUUUUGGUAACUGGUUAUUUCUCUGUUGGUCUGUACAUGUUUGGUAAUACUACUGGCAUUCAAGUAGUGUUGCUUGAGUUUAGUGUUGGUUUUCGGUUGGUUUGCAAAUUCUGGUUUUUCUGCUUGGUUGUAAUCUCCUGGGUUUUGCUGAUAUUCCCGUUUUUACUGGGUUAAUCCUGUGUUGCUGAACUACUGUUGUUGUGUGUGUGCUGCUAUUUCUUCCUACUGAUCUUCAUCUUCUUUGUAUUCCAAUACCAGGUACACCACUUUGAAUCA
rnacentral:lncRNA from 1 species